GAUGAACGCUGGCGGCGUGCCUAAUACAUGCAAGUCGAGCGAAUGGAUUAAGAGCUUGCUCUUAUGAAGUUAGCGGCGGACGGGUGAGUAACACGUGGGUAACCUGCCCAUAAGACUAGGAUAACUCCGGGAAACCGGGGCUAAUACCGGAUAACAUUUUGAACCGCAUGGUUCGAAAUUGAAAGGCGGCUUCGGCUGUCACUUAUGGAUGGACCCGCGUCGCAUUAGCUAGUUGGUGAGGUAACGGCUCACCAAGGCAACGAGGCGUAGCCGACCUGAGAGGGUGAUCGGCCACACUGGGACUGAGACACGGCCCAGACUCCUACGGGAGGCAGCAGUAGGGAAUCUUCCGAAAUGGACGAAAGUCUGACGGAGCAACGCCGCGUGAGUGAUGAAGGCUUUCGGGUCGUAAAACUCUGUUGUUAGGGAAGAACAAGUGCUAGUUGAAUAAGCUGGCACCUUGACGGUACCUAACCAGAAAGCCACGGCUAACUACGUGCCAGCAGCCGCCGUAA
rnacentral:rRNA from 1 species